UACGAAGGGGGCUAGCGUUGUUCGGAAUUACUGGGCGUAAAGGGCGCGUAGGCGGCGUGUCAAGUCAGGCGUGAAAGCCCCGGGCUCAACCUGGGAACCGCGCUUGAGACUGGCAUGCUCGAGUUCGGGAGAGGAUGGUGGAAUUCCUGGUGUAGCGGUGAAAUGCGCAGAUAUCAGGAGGAACACCAAUGGCGAAGGCAGCUCGCUGGAACGGUACUGACGCUGAGGCGCGAAAGCGUGGGGAGCAAACAGG
rnacentral:rRNA from 1 species